UACGAAGGGGGCUAGCGUUGCUCGGAAUUACUGGGCGUAAAGGGCGCGUAGGCGGCUUAUCAAGUCAGGCGUGAAAUUCCCGGGCUCAACCUGGGGGCUGCGCUUGAUACUGAUGAGCUUGAAUGCGGGAGAGGAUAGUGGAAUUCCCAGUGUAGAGGUGAAAUUCGUAGAUAUUGGGAAGAACACCGGUGGCGAAGGCGGCAACCUGGUCCUUUACUGAGCUGAGGCGCGAAAGCGUGGGGGAGCAAACAGG
rnacentral:rRNA from 1 species